rnacentral:lncRNA from 10 species
AGGGUGUUCCUCCCACCUCGGAUGAGGAGAAGAAGCCAAUUCCAGGAGCGAAGAAACUUCCAGGACCUGCAGUCAAUCUAUCGGAAAUCCAGAAUAUUAAAAGUGAACUAAAAUAUGUCCCCAAAGCUGAACAGUAGUAGGAAGAAAAAAGUGGUAAAAGAACUCAGUGAUAUCAAAGAAUUGAAGAGGAACAAAAUAAGUAUCAAAGUGGUAAUGACGCAUCAAUUACAAGAAAAAGAAAUGAUUAGCAAAGGUAAAACCUAAGAAUAAUUCUACAAUGAUGCUAAUAAGCACCGAGAAAGUCGCAAUUGAAAGCCUUGGAACUGAUGAAGCUCUAAAAAGAAAUUCUCCUUCUGAAGUUUCAAGAAUCCCUUCUGUCUGUGUUGGACAUUGCAGCAUGGCCACAUGUGUGGCAGUCAGACUUCAUGAUUGUAUACUAAACUAAGGUUUUAGAAAAAUGCAAAAUUUUACUGAUUCUUGAUAGCUCACUUAGUAGGUUUUGGUUGUGUAGAGACGUGAGAAUCUAUGGAAUUAAUCCCCAUUCAUCAUUAGGAACUGAAGAAAGCACUUGUGUUUUUGUAUCGAGAAGUCUUUUGAGGUCAACCAGUGGGCCUUGGACCAUACUUUGAGAAACACUGCUGUAGGGCAGUAAAUGAGAAUGAGUUGG